UACGUAGGGUGCGAAGCGUUAAUCGGAAUUACUGGGCGUAAAGCGUGCGCAGGCGGUGAUGUAAGACAGUUGUGAAAUCCCCGGGCUCAACCUGGGAACUGCAUCUGUGACUGCAUCGCUGGAGUGCGGCAGAGGGGGAUGGAAUUCCGGCGUGUAGCAGUGAAAUGCGUAGAUAUGCGGAGGAACACCGAUGGCGAAGGCAAUCCCCUGGGCCUGCACUGACGCUCAUGCACGAAAGCGUGGGGAGCAAACAGG
rnacentral:rRNA from 1 species